rnacentral:lncRNA from 10 species
CUAUUCACGGAUUCUUCACUGGCAGCAUCAUUCGCUUCUGCAGGGAGGGAGAAAAAAGCAGUUUUCUCAGCUUACUGGUCAAUUUGUGCAGAAUUACCAAGGCUGUUGAGACGGGAAGAUGGACAUGAAGUGGGUGAAUCAAGGAUAAACUGAAAUCUGUGAGGAUGGGCUGGGACUCAUGAGGAGAGACUUGGACCAACAUUGGUCUCUCCCCACCUCCAAGCCACCCACUUCAAUGAUGGAAGCAAGCUGGAGGGGAAGCUGGCAUCCUUCAUCAGAAAGCUAAUCACGCGCCUGGCCCAGGAGUCAGAGAGGGUGGAGGAGGAUCCAGCAGGAGGUGAGGAUGCUGUGAGCUCAACCUGACGAGGUGAGUGAAGAGAUGAGUGACAACAGGAGCAGCCACGACAGCACCUCCUGCACUGCCCUGGCCUUCCAAGCAUAAAGCGAAAUAUGAUUGCUGCUUUACUUCCACUUCCCAAUGGCACACAAAAUGUCUCUGUGGCCCACACUAACUGCAAUUAUGUAAAGAAAAGAAUUCUGGGAAAUACAGUUCCAGCUUAGCUAAGUGGACAGUCCAAGCAUCCCACAUUGGCUAUAUGGAGAGAACUCUUUCAAUGGAUGGGUAGAGGGCAACAGCCCUGAUGACAGCCUUGGAGCCUCUGGAUCCAGCCAGCUCUGAAGCUGUAACUAUCACUAGAAUUUUCAGUUAUGUGAACUAUUUGGCUUAUACUUGUUUGCUGGGGGUUUUUUUGGUUUUUUUUUUGUUUGUUUGUUUUUUUGAGAUGGAGUCUCGCUCUGUCACCCAGGCUGGAGUGCAGUGGUGCAAUCUCUGUCUCUUGAAAAUAAAAGUGGCCUGACUCAUAUGUGGAGCUAGUUUAGCAUCUAAGAGUAAUUUAGUUAAGGCGUUGUAAUAGAAUUCCAAUAAAGAAGUAACUUUGUCAGGGCAAUUAGGAACACACUGAAAAUCUCUUGGGUAAUAAGGAAUGACUAUUACACAGCAUGUUCAGUUUUGGUGGGUAAAAGAGUGAUGGGUAAAGAGUGCGCUAAAAAAUGGCCAAAAAAAGUCUUAUGUACAAACUGCUAUUAACCUCUGCUGUUAACUUAUUACCAAGUGGCAGGUGUAAUCUUUGUAGGAGGUAAGAUGACACAUAGUGGGAAACAGAGGGACACCCAAACAGGACCUCCCUGGUAAGUAGCCCCUGAGUUAGGAUCCCACAUGUCAAAAUUUCAUUCUUGUUUCUGCAGGUCAAGAAAACUCAUCUGGUGUGUGCAUAUAAUUGUUCAGCUUUCAGGUGUCUGAC